AUGGGAUCCGAAAGGGAAGACUUGGAAAUUGAGAUGGAGACUCUUGUCGGUUCAUCACAAUCUGCAAGAAAGACAUCGCCCAUAGAAAUACCUCAUAAUCUGGCACUUUCAAAUGUUUCUAUAUCAUGGACCCUUUCAAGAUUACUUGAACGUCUAUGGAAGAGUGUAAAAGUUGUUAUAUUCACAGUAAAGAUCAACUUGUUGCUACCAUUUGGACCCAUGUCGAUCAUUCUCCAUUACCUUACAAAAAAUCAUGGACUGGUUUUUUCCUUCAGUUUGAUAGGCAUAGCUCCAUUAGCUGAGCGUUUGGGUUAUGCGACUGAACAGCUUGCAUUCUACACUGGACCCACAGUUGGGGGCCUUCUAAAUGCUACAUUUGGAAAUGCAACGGAGAUGAUAAUAGCUAUUUAUGCAUUGAAAAAUGGAAUGAUUCGUGUAGUCCAGCAAUCAUUGCUAGGCUCUAUAUUAUCAAACAUGCUCUUAGUUCUUGGUUGUGCUUUCUUGGCUGGUGGGAUCGUCCAUUGCGAGAAAGAUCAGGUCUUCAACAAGGCAGCUGCAGUCGUAAAUUCUGGAUUGCUGCUGAUGGCUGUAAUGGGCCUAUUGUUUCCAGCUGUUCUUCACUUUACACACUCAGAAGUGCAAUAUGGAGAGUCAGAGGUUUCUCUUUCAAGGUUUAGCAGUUGUGUGAUGCUUGUAGCUUAUGCUAGCUACCUUGUUUUUCAACUAAAGAGCCACCGCAAUCUUUAUAGUCCAAUUGAUGAAGAAGAGAGGCAGAACGAGGAUGAUCUUGAUGAAGUGGAAGUUCCAGAGUUAGGCCAAUGGGAAGCAAUUUCAUGGCUUGCUUUUUUAACCAUUUGGGUCUCCAUUCUUUCUGAAUACCUUGUUAAUGCCAUAGAGGGAGCAUCCGACUCAUUGAACCUGCCUGUGUCUUUUAUUAGUGUCAUUUUGCUUCCUAUUGUUGGCAAUGCUGCUGAGCAUGCUAGUGCAAUUAUGUUUGCCAUGAAGGAUAAACUUGACAUAACAUUGGGGGUUGCAAUUGGAUCAUCUACACAAAUAUCAAUGUUUGUGAUUCCUUUCUGUGUGGUUGUUGGUUGGAUAAUGGGAAAACGGAUGGACUUGAAUUUUCAAUUAUUUGAGACAGCUACCCUCUUUAUAACAGUACUGGUUGUGGCAUUUAUGCUACAGGAAGGCACUACAAACUAUUUCAAGGGGCUUAUGCUUAUUCUAUGCUAUUUAAUCGUUGCUGCCAGUUUCUUUGUGCAUGUGGAUCCUCCAGACGGUAGGUAAAGAAACGACUUAGACUAAGCUGUCUGGAUAUAAAGAUAUCCUCCGUGGAUUUACUCUCUAGAUAUACUAUGGCCUUAGUUGUCUGGACAUAGAGAUAUCAAGCUGCCCAGGAAUCAGAAUUUGUGAAGUAUACUACUUUAAUUUGUGCAACAUAUUUAAAAGAUCUCAGAACAUUGGUAAAUAAGUUCCUCCUGCGGAUUCAUGUACAAUUUUCAGGAUACAAGGACAGGGUACUUGGUUUUGAAUGUUGUGAAUGUAACUGAAUUUCUGAAUGCAUGCUAGCAAAAUGGACAAUUCACUUGAACGGAAAUUGGACAAUAUUGUGAUUUUGCCGAGCUCUUUGCCGCUUCUGUUCACUGUGAUUCAUUAAUAUUUGUGUAGACAGCGGUAAUGUUUAAUGGCUGAAAAAGCCAAUUAGCCUUGCUUGGUGUCAACAGUACGAGAUACAUGCCAACUAGCACGCAGUGAAGCAUGUUCUCCACAAUGAGUUGAAGGCAUGAUGGAAUUGUAAAAGGUCCUUGGUUGCUCCUGCUACAGCUCCAUAACGUCGUCUUGGCUUGAUAUUCUGGUUAUUAAGAGAGGCUUCUCUUUUUGCUAUGUUGUACCAGUUCAAGUGGAGAGGUGGAAGCUUUUGUAGUCUGUGUAUCUAAUUCUUUCUUGUCGGGGUCUGUUCCCUGCCAUGGUAAAUAGCCUUCAUAGCAUCAGAUCUUGGGACUGUUUUUGUGAGGAAUUCUGUCGGCAUGUCUUCAUUUUACACGGGUCUUAUCGAGCUGGGUGUACAUCAUAACAUUGUACUAAUUACUACGAGUGGAAUGCAACAAGGUGCACCACAUUGCAAUAUGUGAACGAGAUUUGUCAAAUUAGAACUCAGUACUAAGGUUGCAUUGA